UCCGUCUCAAUCUCCGUUUUAGUCAACAUAAAUAAUGUCACUAAAUUUUCAUCUCGAGGAUGAAUUUAUGAACAAUGUAUGCAAAAUUUCUAAUCAAGAGAAGAGUCACAUUAUUGAGGGAUGAAUGCACCUCAAAUAAUGAAGAAGAAGACCGAUACCAGUGUUGAAGAGACGCGUGAAAAGGGUUGUAAAUAAGAAAGGGGUUUUCAAGUAUAAGGGAAUUUAGGGAUUGUCUGGCCAUCAGCAGCUUCAAGCUUCAGCCCUGUGUUGGACCCCGACUCGCGGCGUCAGAUCUCAAUCUCAAAUAGGGCCGGGACCGCGCGAUGCGUGACUCUCUCUCCUCCCACUAUAUAUCCAAGCAUACACAGGCUAGCUUCGACUCCACCAUUAUCCAGGUGGGCGCGGAAAUCGAUAGAUCACGACACAAUCUGGGUUAAGCCUAUCCGUAGGGACUGCGAUGCGAAGCCAGAGUUAUGAAUAGGCCCUGCCAUGAAGUGCGUCAGGGCACCAACGUCUCUCACAGCCACUCGCAAAGGACGUGGUGGGGACAUUCCAACUGGUACAAAUUGGCUCGCUCCAGAAAAUGGGUCGGACAAAAUUGCUCAAGAUUCCAGUUGGUGGGUUGCAUGCAGACCGCGGAUGCUUGUCAUCGACAAGAGUAUCUACUUAUGAGUCGGAACUUGUGCUCAUUACCCAGUCAAUUCCACGCAUGGAUCGGUCUUUUGGAGGCGCGUGACUUAAUUCUAAAAUUUGCAAAACUUUCCGCCCUCGGAAACACUGUGGCCGCAGUUGGAUGUAGCACUGCAGUCUGGGAGACUGCAGCUUGAGACCUAAUUCAAUUUUUCCAAUAUUAUUUUUUCUUUUGGUAGCAUUUGAUUCCUUGAAAUCUCUUUCCACAACUGUUGCCCUUUGAAACAUGCCCACCAAAUCUCACACGACUUCGAAGACCGAAAAUCGGAGGCACGCCUAAAUGGGGUUAACUACUACACGGAGGCUCAAUGCACAUACCCCUAUUUCUCGUGUCGAAACCAGAAAUAGGUUAAAGAUGAGCAAACCAUUGCUGCUUAACAUACAGUUUCAUAAACAAGCAUGCGCGCGAGCCUCGAACCCUUGAUUGAGCAUGAAUGCUUCCGGGUCCAGACAACAAUUGCUCUGCGUCACAAAGGUAAAAGGUUUCGGGUUCUGAUUUCUUCUCCAUUUUAACACCUGGGUUAAGGGUUUAGUCGCUAUUAUUCCAUGUAUUAUUCCAUGUGGCAAUGGGAGGCUGGCUGCACGGGAGAAGAAUGGAUGAUAGCAACCUGUUCUUAUAUAAUUUUGAUAAGGUGAGUGUUAUGUGAGUACAAUAGUAAGAGAAUGUAACAUUGUUUUGUUGGAAAAGGAUAAGUUAAUUAUUUUUGAAGUGGACAUGGAUUCCCUUUUUUGAGAGUGAUCAUUGCCAAUGCUAUUCUUUGAUCUUUUUUUUUGUAUUUGAAGUGUUAAUGUAAGAAAUCAUGCAAAUCUAUUUCAUUCAAAGAAAAUUGGACAGUGCAUGUUUUGAAUUUAUAUAUAUAUAUAUAUAUAUUUAUUUAUUUGUAUUUGAU
rnacentral:lncRNA from 1 species